rnacentral:rRNA from 1 species
CUCAGAACGAACGCUGGCGGCGUGCUUAACACAUGCAAGUCGAACGCGAAAGGGACUUCGGUCCUGAGUAAAGUGGCGCACGGGUGAGUAACGCGUAGAUAACCUGUCUUCAUGUCUGGCAUAAUACGCCGAAAGGGGUACUAAUACCGGAUAUUCUUGCUUUUCAUAAGUUAUGCAAGCAAAGGUGGCCUCUGCAUAUGCUACUGCAUGAAGAGGGGUCUGCGUACCAUUAGCUAGUAGGUGGGGUAAUGGCCUACCUAGGCGACGAUGGUUAGCGGGUCUGAGAGGAUGAUCCGCCACACUGGCACUGGAACACGGGCCAGACUCCUACGGGAGGCAGCAGUGAGGAAUAUUGCGCAAUGGGGGAAACCCUGACGCAGCGACGCCGCGUGAGUGAGGAAGGCCUUCGGGUCGUAAAGCUCUGUCAAGAGGAAAGAAGUGUACAAUGGCUAAUACCUGUUGUAUUUGACGGUACCUCUAAAGGAAGCACCGGCUAACUCCGUGCCAGCAGCCGCGGUAAUACGGAGGGUGCAAGCGUUGUUCGGAAUCACUGGGCGUAAAGGGCGCGUAGGCGGCUUGGUAAGUCAGAUGUGAAAGCCCACGGCUUAACUGUGGAAGUGCAUUUGAAACUGUCAGGCUUGAGUACCAGAGGGGAAAGUGGAAUUCCCGGUGUAGAGGUGAAAUUCGUAGAUAUCGGGAGGAAUACCGGUGGCGAAGGCGACUUUCUGGCUGGAUACUGACGCUGAGGCGCGAAAGCGUGGGGAGCAAACAGGAUUAGAUACCCUGGUAGUCCACGCUGUAAACGAUGU